GCCUGUAUAGUUCAAUGAUAGAACAUGCGUCUCAUACACGCUAUACGGGGGUUUGAUUCCCUCUACAGGUU
rnacentral:tRNA from 1 species